CCUACGGGUUGCACCAGUGGGGAAUAUUGCACAAUGGGCGCAAGCCUGAUGCAGCCAUGCCGCGUGUAUGAAGAAGGCCUUAGGGUUGUAAAGUACUUUCAGCGAGGAGGAAGGCGAUAAGGUUAAUAACCUUGUCGAUUGACGUUACUCGCAGAAGAAGCACCGGCUAACUCCGUGCCGGCAGCCGCGGUAAUACGGAGGGUGCAAGCGUUAAUCGGAAUUACUGGGCGUAAAGCGCACGCAGGCGGUCUGUCAAGUCGGAUGUGAAAUCCCCGGGCUCAACCUGGGAACUGCAUUCGAAACUGGCAGGCUAGAGUCUCGUAGAGGGGGGUAGAAUUCCAGGUGUAGCGGUGAAAUGCGUAGAGAUCUGGAGGAAUACCGGUGGCGAAGGCGGCCCCCUGGACGAAGACUGACGCUCAGGUGCGAAAGCGUGGGGAGCAAACAGGAUUAGAUACCCGUGUAGUC
rnacentral:rRNA from 1 species